rnacentral:rRNA from 1 species
CGCUGGCGGCGUGCCUAAUACAUGCAAGUCGAACGAAUCUUCUUCGGAAGAUGAGUGGCGAACGGGUGAGUAAUACAUAGGUAACCUGCCCCUGUGCGGGGGAUAACAGGAGGAAACUCCUGCUAAUACCGCAUAGCCAUGAGCACCGCAUGGAGCUCAUGCCAAAUAUCCUUCAGGGGAUAGCGCAGGGAUGGACCUAUGGCGCAUUAGCUAGUUGGCGGGGCAACGGCCCACCAAGGCAACGAUGCGUAGCCGGCCUGAGAGGGCGGACGGCCACAUUGGGACUGAGACACGGCCCAGACUCCUACGGGAGGCAGCAGUAGGGAAUUUUCGGCAAUGGGGGAAACCCUGACCGAGCAACGCCGCGUGAGCGAAGAAGGCCUUCGGGUCGUAAAGCUCUGUUGUAAAGGAAGAACGUCGCAUGCAGGAAAUGGUGUGCGAGUGACGGUACUUUACCAGAAAGCCACGGCUAACUACGUGCCAGCAGCCGCGGUAAUACGUAGGUGGCGAGCGUUAUCCGGAAUCAUUGGGCGUAAAGAGGGAGCAGGCGGCCGCAAGGGUCUGUGGUGAAAGACCGAAGCUAAACUUCGGUAAGCCAUGGAAACUGGGCGGCUAGAGUGCGGAAGAGGAUCGUGGAAUUCCAUGUGUAGCGGUGAAAUGCGUAGAUAUAUGGAGGAACACCAGUGGCGAAGGUGACGGUCUGGGCCGCAACUGACGCUCAUUCCCGAAAGCGUGGGGAGCAAAUAGGAUUAGAUACCCUAGUAGUCCACGCCGUAAACGAUGGUCACUAAGUGUCGGGGGUCAAACCCC